AAAUUGAAGAGUUUGAUCAUGGCUCAGAUUGAACGCUGGCGGCAGGCCUAACACAUGCAAGUCGAACGGUAGCACAGAGAGCUUGCUCUCGGGUGACGAGUGGCGGACGGGUGAGUAAUGUCUGGGAAACUGCCCGAUGGAGGGGGAUAACUACUGGAAACGGUAGCUAAUACCGCAUAAUGUCGCAAGACCAAAGUGGGGGACCUUCGGGCCUCACACCAUCGGAUGUGCCCAGAUGGGAUUAGCUUGUUGGUGGGGUAACGGCUCACCAAGGCGACGAUCCCUAGCUGGUCUGAGAGGAUGACCAGCCACACUGGAACUGAGACACGGUCCAGACUCCUACGGGAGGCAGCAGUGGGGAAUAUUGCACAAUGGGCGCAAGCCUGAUGCAGCCAUGCCGCGUGUAUGAAGAAGGCCUUCGGGUUGUAAAGUACUUUCAGCGGGGAGGAAGGCGUUGUGGUUAAUAACCGCAGCGAUUGACGUUACCCGCAGAAGAAGCACCGGCUAACUCCGUGCCAGCAGCCGCGGUAAUACGGAGGGUGCAAGCGUUAAUCGGAAUUACUGGGCGUAAAGCGCACGCAGGCGGUUUGUUAAGUCAGAUGUGAAAUCCCCGGGCUCAACCUGGGAACUGCAUUUGAAACUGGCAAGCUUGAGUCUCGUAGAGGGGGGUAGAAUUCCAGGUGUAGCGGUGAAAUGCGUAGAGAUCUGGAGGAAUACCGGUGGCGAAGGCGGCCCCCUGGACGAAGACUGACGCUCAGGUGCGAAAGCGUGGGGAGCAAACAGGAUUAGAUACCCUGGUAGUCCACGCCGUAAACGAUGUCUAUUUGGAGGUUGUGCCCUUGAGGCGUGGCUUCCGGAGCUAACGCGUUAAAUAGACCGCCUGGGGAGUACGGCCGCAAGGUUAAAACUCAAAUGAAUUGACGGGGGCCCGCACAAGCGGUGGAGCAUGUGGUUUAAUUCGAUGCAACGCGAAGA
rnacentral:rRNA from 1 species